UCAGCGAGAAAAGCGGGAUUGGGCCCAAGCUGGCAGGCAACAGAUAGAGAGAUUGGAAAACAGGUUGGAAACUUUGAGGGCAUAGUGGAAGGAAAGGAGUAAGUAAUUAUAAGCAUGGGGAUUUCAAAUCCCCAGGAUAAUAAUUGGAAUGGUAAAAUGUGUGCAAGACAGAGUCUUUGUACCAAGGUGCAAGGCUCUCCUUUCUUCUGCAGAAUAAAGCAACUCUUCCUUAUCCCUGUCUGGCUGUUAUUGGCUCUCAGCUAGGUGGACCCGAUAUUUCAGUCACAGUUACUGGCGACUCCGGUUAAUGAAUUUCUGUCUUAUACAUUUGGGCGUUAGGUGUGUGGACGGAACUGAGCCUCUCAUUCGUAAUUCCUCAGAGUGGAAGCCAUCGCGUGCGAUGAAGCUCUGAGGUCGAAUUGGGAUCCUUCUGUCCCAUCCCCUGUAGCGGUCAGUAUUAGUAGAAAUUCCCGUAAUAGGCUCCUAUUAGGCCAUAAUUCCCUCUGUUCUCUGUGUAAUUCUCUGUUAGAGUGUCAGCAGGCAGAUGGGUGGGUCUCUGGUAAAACCCUCUAAGGACAGCCCUUUGAAUUAUAUGUUAAGUAAAUGGCCUUUACCCGGUGUUCAGAAAAGAAUGUCGAAGAGACGCUUGUUGCAGCUUUGCACCCAGGACUGGCCAGCCCUGGGCACUGAUUGGCCCGAAUCCGGAUCUUUUGACAUUCCGACUUACUUAACUCCCUUGCACCUGGUACUGGAAAACCAGGCACCGGGACAAAUAAAUUAUUGGUUUUUGUGGGAUCUGUGUUUUAUAAGUUUGAGAUGAAUUGGUAUUGUUUAAAGUUGCAAAAACCGAGAAUACUUUUGCCAGACACAGGAAACUAGUGUUGUUUAAUAUGGUAUUUAGGAUUUAAUUCUUAAGGAGACUUAAUGCUUUACAAGAUUUAAAAUGUUUUAACUAAAGACCAAAGGUUGUGGCUGCAGCAGGGUAGUCAAAGCCAGGAGAAUAAAAGAUUUGAAUUUGGUUUUGGGUAACAAAAUAGCAGAUAAAAGAGCUGGUAAAGAGAGAGAAGGACAGUGCCCCUGGCUCUGUGUGGUUGAGCUGUCACUUUACUAGGGGUGCAUGGAGAUUUUGUAAGCACAAAAGAAACAGUUACACCUUGUGUAGAAAUUGAUAUGGCUAGUGUUGUGGAAAUUGAAUUGUGGAUAGGACGUGCAUUUCCCCCAGAACAUGUGCAGUGUAUAUUGUAGCAGAGAUAAAAGAAAUGCAAACCUACCAAUAUAGGUUGUGUUGUCUUUUUCAGAUCACUGUGUGUUUGAAAGCAGGAGUUAGAAGUAAAAGGCAAUCAAAAGUCUGGGAAAGUUAAUUUUGUCCCUUUUUAAGUAAGAAUCUUUAAGCUGUGGAUAGCUUUGGAUCUGGAAGCAAGCCAGAAAGCAUCUGUAUUAAUGCAAUUUUCUAACUAAUAAGGUAAAAGCCACUUAAACCUGGGCGGCCUAUGAAACAAAUACAAUGAAAUAUGGGAUAAUUCCUCUGUUUUGUCUAAAAUCAACAAGAGUAUGUGUAUAUAAAGGAAAUAUUUUAAGCAAUGACUGACUACCCAGAAGGGGUAGACCUCUGUUCUUUUGUCUUUCAGAUCAUCAGAGAAAACGGAUGCCAGCUGAACAGCAUUCAAUGUAACAUGCAUUUACUGGUUAAAAGAAGCCAAGAAGGGAAAAAGGAAAAAGAACAGAAGGAGUUAACUGGAAAAAUAGCUAGCAAGCUCAGUCCAAAGAUAAGACACUGGCCCAAUCCAAGGACACUGCCCAGAGCUAAGACUUGGCCGACAGCCAAGAAAAGGGGGGCCUGAAUGUGCCCAAGCAACUAUGAGAUCUGCAAAACACUGCCAGGCAUUAAUGAAAUGUGUUAGGUUUCUUUUCUCACAGAUAAAAGAAGUGCUACCCAAAGACCCUAGCAGCCCUGCCAUUCAUUGAAACAAGGAGAUUGAGUCUAUGUAAAGUCCAUCAACGAAAGACUGCUUUGGCUCCACACUGGAAAGGCCCUUUCCAAGUCCUGUUAACCACCAACAUGGCUGUGAAGAGCCAAGGACUACCUGCCUGGACCCAUGCUUCUCACUGUAAAAAGACCCCUCCAUCUCGGGAGAACUCUCUGACUGAUGAUAAGCCUAUUUCUCCUUCUAGCACUGCUAUGCCUUCUGGACAGCAGGAAAAAGAAAAAAAAAAAAAAGACAAGGUGAAGUGCUAGUAACCUCUCCCUUGUCCACUGACAGACUUACUGUGCCUUUGGAUUUUUCUAGAAGCAGCAAAACCAUUACAGGGUGAUGUGCUAGUAACCUCUCCCCUGUAUGAUGCUAAACCACACUGUUUCAGGAAAAGAGAAGAAGGAACACUUGCUUCAUUGAAACCACAAAGUCCAGGGAUUCCUGACUACAAGAGACAUUAAGAACUGACCCUGGUGAAGAAACAAAGAAUUAUACACUGGCAGAAAGAAAAUUGUGGGACCCAUGCUUGGGAACGUGGUAUUGAUUGGAUUCUGGGGUUUAUUCUACAGGCUGUGCCCUGUGUUUUGGAUAAGUCCUUCAGCAUGUAUUGCCCUCCCUAACUGGAUUUUAAAUUAUAAGUACCAAAGGCACCUUGUUGCCAUUGCCCCUGCCAUCUCCUCCAUUACACUAUUACCCCUGUAACACAUCCAAAUACAGACAAUGUCAUAUAUUUGAUAAAACCAAUGACUAAGGCCUUCACACUUUAGUGAUUUAUUUAAAUAUUGUUUAAAAAAAAUAUUUUUAAGGUUCAGGAUAUCCCAUAUAAGCGAACAAUUGAAUGGAUCAGUGGAGAUAAAAGUAUAUGAUAUCACUACCAGUGAACCCCAAGAAUCUGUAAUUGCAAUUGAUGCAUUCUAUAGCGAAUGUUGCUGAAAUUUGCACUGUGUUAAAUGAGAGAGGCCCUUAUUGUUAUUUGAUCACCCAAUUAGUGAACAAUUAAACGAAUACCCAGAGUUUGUUUUGCCACUGGAAAUUUUACCUGCAUAGAAAUUAUUCCAGUGACUAAUAAUGUGACCUGUACCUUAUUGCAAUACACCCCUUCUUAUGCCAUUAAUAUCAAUGCCUCCCGGAAGUACUAAAGGUGUUCAACCAAUAGAUGUGGUAUAGUACUACACCAAAGAGAGAUGUAUUAGGAUAUCAAUGGACUGUGAUUAACACUACACUAGGGACUGUUAAAUUUUCAUUGCCCUUAUCCAGUUUCCAGAUUACCUCUACAUACCCAAAUUGCUCACAGGGGGCUGCCAUUAGAUUAGCACAACAGAGGGCUUGGGUUAUUUCUUCUAGGAAGAGAGACUUGACCGGAUCCCUGUGGGAUGGGGCCAAUAGUGCAGCAGCAGUUUGGAAUAUUUUAAAAAACCAAGAACAUGAUGAGAAAUUGGGGAAACUAGAGAAGGCCAUUGGCCUUGUUUCUGGAGCACAACUAACCCAGGUACAGGCUGGAGUUGGUGAGUUGCAUGUUAUUUCCGCCCUUAGUUGUAUGACCCAGAAGUUGCUGACAGAGAUGAUAUUGAAUAUCACUGAGGCUGGGAAGGCAUUGCAGUGGGAUCUAGCAUGUUCAGAAAUUCAGGAUUUCCUGAAUGACCAGCUAAUGGCCAUUCGGAAUGAUCUAGAGCAUCAGGCUUGGCCCACUGCCCUUACAGACACAUCAGGAGUACCAUCUGAUCUGUGGCCAUGGAGACAUACUUGGGAGACUUUCUGGGUGGAAGUGCAGACGUUCUCAGUGCUCCUUCCAAGCAUAUGGACCGGUUGGGGGGGGUGUGGGCUCCCACAUACCGAAUCCUGCCGGAUCCAUGGGGAGGAUGCAUGUGGGUAAUUCACAGAGACAUCUGGGAAAUUAGACCUCCUGGUAUGCCCAAUCGAUUUUUAGUCAGUGCUCCAGGGAUUACAUCUGACAUUUGGAUGGGGUUAGGGAGUCAAUGGACAUUAGAACCCCCACAGCUUCAUUGUAUCCAUAAACUGAAGCCAGGAGCAGUUGUUACUCUUCAUGACUACAUUUGCUGGGAGGGUAGGGGACAAGGAACUACCCUGACAGGACACUUACUUUUUCAAGCUAAUGAUAGCUGUGUGUAUGUUAAAGCCACCACAUUGCAAGACAUACAUUUUAAUCUCAUUACCACUGCAGGCAAUCAUAUUAUUUACUGGCCUGCAAAUAGAAUUUUGCAAGUAGUCCUUAGGUUCCAGAUACCCUUUAACUGGACUAGUUUAGUACCUGAUCAGUUUCAAAUUUGCUUUCACUGUUACCAGAGGUUCAGAAAAUCUCUGAAAUACAAGGGCAAAUUCACAUGCUUCAAUAUAUAUAUAUAUAUCAAGUUGAAAAGUAAGCCUUUCAUACAGCUUAUAGAGUGUCCACCUUAUGUACUAAGUAUGAUGUAUUGUGUUUUAUGACUAAGACUGUACAACAACCCCAUCAUAUUAUCGCUAUGGGAAUGUUAUUGCUUGUGUUGUUGUUAGGAGUAUGUUAUUGUUGUUAUAAAGAACAUAAUAAUAGUAAUACCUUUCAUGUCCAUGCUCAUCAUGCAUUGUCAUUACAUCCAAUCAAAACUCCUAAGGUUGAAGCAUCUGAUGUAGAAUCUGAAUGUAGACUUAAUGCAAAUAGAGAUCUGAAAAUGUUUGUUGUACUAGUAGUACAAAAGGGGGGGUUGUGGAAGCAGAGAAAGAACUGACAGGAAGGGGAUGCAAUACAUGACAGUUCGUUAGCAAGAGUUAGGCUAACUGUAACCCUAAUAACGCGAGAUUUGUAGAAGCGGGGAAUGUGUGAGGCAAGUGGGAAAGAACUGUGUGAGAAGUUGUUGCGACCUUGUAUAGAUAAUGUGUAGAUAAUAUGGAAUGUAGACUAAGAGUCUACAUUAGUGAGCAAAACAAGAUAUCAGAAUGACCUAUGUAUAAACAAAAUGCAGCUGUUGCUCAUUAUUGUCUGUAACAAAAAGGUAUAAAUGUUUGCUGUAAUUGUUUACCUGUUGAGAGACCUGCUUAGCUCUCUCCCUCUAUGCAAUUGAUAGAGAGAAAAUAAAGCGUCUGACUUGCUGUA